GAUGAACGCUGGCGGCGUGCCUAAUACAUGCAAGUCGAGCGAACGGACGAGAAGCUUGCUUCUCUGAUGUUAGCGGCGGACGGGUGAGUAACACGUGGAUAACCUACCUAUAAGACUGGGAUAACUUCGGGAAACCGGAGCUAAUACCGGAUAAUAUUUUGAACCGCAUGGUUCAAAAGUGAAAGACGGUCUUGCUGUCACUUAUAGAUGGAUCCGCGCUGCAUUAGCUAGUUGGUAAGGUAACGGCUUACCAAGGCAACGAUGCAUAGCCGACCUGAGAGGGUGAUCGGCCACACUGGAACUGAGACACGGUCCAGACCCCUACGGGAGGCAGCAGUAGGGAAUCUUCCGCAAUGGGCGAAAGCCCGACGGAGCAACGCCGCGUGAGUGAUGAAGGUCUUCGGAUCGUAAAACUCUGUUAUUAGGGAAGAACAUAUGUGUAAGUAACUGUGCACAUCUUGACGGUACCUAAUCAGAAAGCCACGGCUAACUACGUG
rnacentral:rRNA from 1 species